rnacentral:rRNA from 1 species
UUAAGCGACUAAGCGUACACGGUGGAUGCCCUGGCAGUCAGAGGCGAUGAAGGACGUGCUAAUCUGCGAUAAGCGUCGGUAAGGUGAUAUGAACCGUUAUAACCGGCGAUUUCCGAAUGGGGAAACCCAGUGUGAUUCGUCACACUAUCAUUAACUGAAUCCAUAGGUUAAUGAGGCGAACCGGGGGAACUGAAACAUCUAAGUACCCCGAGGAAAAGAAAUCAACCGAGAUUCCCCCAGUAGCGGCGAGCGAACGGGGAGCAGCCCAGAGCCUGAAUCAGUGUGUGUGUUAGUGGAAGCGUCUGGAAAGGCGUGCGAUACAGGGUGACAGCCCCGUACACAAAAAUGCACAUAUUGUGAGCUCGAUGAGUAGGGCGGGACACGUGGUAUCCUGUCUGAAUAUGGGGGGACCAUCCUCCAAGGCUAAAUACUCCUGACUGACCGAUAGUGAACCAGUACCGUGAGGGAAAGGCGAAAAGAACCCCGGCGAGGGGAGUGAAAAAGAACCUGAAACCGUGUACGUACAAGCAGUGGGAGCACGCUUAGGCGUGUGACUGCGUACCUUUUGUAUAAUGGGUCAGCGACUUAUAUUCUGUAGCAAGGUUAACCGAAUAGGGGAGCCGAAGGGAAACCGAGUCUUAACUGGGCGUUAAGUUGCAGGGUAUAGACCCGAAACCCGGUGAUUCAGCCAUGGGCAGGUUGAAGGUUGGGUAACACUAACUGGAGGACCGAACCGACUAAUGUUGAAAAAUUAGCGGAUGACUUGUGGCUGGGGGUGAAAGGCCAAUCAAACCGGGAGAUAGCUGGUUCUCCCCGAAAGCUAUUUAGGUAGCGCCUCGUGAAUUCAUCUCCGGGGGUAGAGCACUGUUUCGGCAAGGGGGUCAUCCCGACUUACCAACCCGAUGCAAACUGCGAAUACCGGAGAAUGUUAUCACGGGAGACACACGGCGGGUGCUAACGUCCGUCGUGAAGAGGGAAACAACCCAGACCGCCAGCUAAGGUCCCAAAGUCAUGGUUAAGUGGGAAACGAUGUGGGAAGGCCCAGACAGCCAGGAUGUUGGCUUAGAAGCAGCCAUCAUUUAAAGAAAGCGUAAUAGCUCACUGGUCGAGUCGGCCUGCGCGGAAGAUGUAACGGGGCUAAACCAUGCACCGAAGCUGCGGCAGCGACGCUUAUGCGUUGUUGGGUAGGGGAGCGUUCUGUAAGCCUGCGAAGGUGUGCUGUGAGGCAUGCUGGAGGUAUCAGAAGUGCGAAUGCUGACAUAAGUAACGAUAAAGCGGGUGAAAAGCCCGCUCGCCGGAAGACCAAGGGUUCCUGUCCAACGUUAAUCGGGGCAGGGUGAGUCGACCCCUAAGGCGAGGCCGAAAGGCGUAGUCGAUGGGAAACAGGUUAAUAUUCCUGUACUUGGUGUUACUGCGAAGGGGGGACGGAGAAGGCUAUGUUGGCCGGGCGACGGUUGUCCCGGUUUAAGCGUGUAGGCUGGUUUUCCAGGCAAAUCCGGAAAAUCAAGGCUGAGGCGUGAUGACGAGGCACUACGGUGCUGAAGCAACAAAUGCCCUGCUUCCAGGAAAAGCCUCUAAGCAUCAGGUAACAUCAAAUCGUACCCCAAACCGACACAGGUGGUCAGGUAGAGAAUACCAAGGCGCUUGAGAGAACUCGGGUGAAGGAACUAGGCAAAAUGGUGCCGUAACUUCGGGAGAAGGCACGCUGAUAUGUAGGUGAAGUCCCUCGCGGAUGGAGCUGAAAUCAGUCGAAGAUACCAGCUGGCUGCAACUGUUUAUUAAAAACACAGCACUGUGCAAACACGAAAGUGGACGUAUACGGUGUGACGCCUGCCCGGUGCCGGAAGGUUAAUUGAUGGGGUCAGCGCAAGCGAAGCUCUUGAUCGAAGCCCCGGUAAACGGCGGCCGUAACUAUAACGGUCCUAAGGUAGCGAAAUUCCUUGUCGGGUAAGUUCCGACCUGCACGAAUGGCGUAAUGAUGGCCAGCAGGCUGUCUCCACCCGAGACUCAGUGAAAUUGAACUCGCUGUGAAGAUGCAGUGUACCCGCGGCAAGACGGAAAGACCCCGUGAACCUUUACUAUAGCUUGACACUGAACAUUGAGCCUUGAUGUGUAGGAUAGGUGGGAGGCUUUGAAGUGUGGACGCCAGUCUGCAUGGAGCCGACCUUGAAAUACCACCCUUUAAUGUUUGAUGUUCUAACGUUGACCCGUAAUCCGGGUUGCGGACAGUGUCUGGUGGGUAGUUUGACUGGGGCGGUCUCCUCCUAAAGAGUAACGGAGGAGCACGAAGGUUGGCUAAUCCCCUGGUCGGACAUCAGGAGGUUAGUGCAAUGGCAUAAGCCAGCUUGACUGCGAGCGUGACGGCGCGAGCAGGUGCGAAAGCAGGUCAUAGUGAUCCGGUGGUUCUGAAUGGAAGGGCCAUCGCUCAACGGAUAAAAGGUACUCCGGGGAUAACAGGCUGAUACCGCCCAAGAGUUCAUAUCGACGGCGGUGUUUGGCACCUCGAUGUCGGCUCAUCACAUCCUGGGGCUGAAGUAGGUCCCAAGGGUAUGGCUGUUCGCCAUUUAAAGUGGUACGCGAGCUGGGUUUAGAACGUCGUGAGACAGUUCGGUCCCUAUCUGCCGUGGGCGCUGGAGAACUGAGGGGGGCUGCUCCUAGUACGAGAGGACCGGAGUGGACGCAUCACUGGUGUUCGGGUUGUCAUGCCAAUGGCACUGCCCGGUAGCUAAAUGCGGAAGAGAUAAGUGCUGAAAGCAUCUAAGCACGAAACUUGCCCCGAGAUGAGUUCUCCCUGACUCCUUGAGAGUCCUGAAGGAACGUUGAAGACGACGACGUUGAUAGGCCGGGUGUGUAAGCGCAGCGAUGCGUUGAGCUAACCGGUACUAAUGAACCGUGAGGCUUAACCU